rnacentral:rRNA from 1 species
GAGAGCCAAGAGAUCCGUUGCAGAAAGUUGUA